rnacentral:rRNA from 1 species
CUCUUUAGCUUGGCAUUUGAAUCGGCUUUGCUGUUGCGAAGUAGAGUGGCGGCUUCGGCUGCCGAGGGUCGAUCCAUUUGGGAAAUGUUGUGUACUUCGGUAUGCAUCUCAAUUGGACCUGAUAUCAGGCAAGAUUACCCGCUGAACUUAAGCAUAUUAAUAAGCGGAGGAAAAGAAACUAACAAGGAUUCCCCUAGUAACGGCGAGUGAAGCGGGAAGAGCUCAAGCUUAAAAUCUCCGUGCAAGUUUUGCGCGGCGAAUUGUAGUCUAUAGAGGCGUGAUCAGUGUGGGCGCUUGGGGCAAGUUCCUUGGAAGAGGACAGCAUGGAGGGUGAUACUCCCGUUCAUCCCUGAGUUGCUCGUGCGUACGAUCCGUUUUCUUUGAGUCGCGUUGUUUGGGAAUGCAGCGCAAAGUAGGUGGUAAAUUCCAUCUAAAGCUAAAUAUUGGUGCGAGACCGAUAGCGAACAAGUACCGUGAGGGAAAGAUGAAAAGAACUUUGAAAAGAGAGUUAAAGAGUACCUGAAACUGCUGAAAGGGAACCGAAUCGUUUCCAGUGUCUAUAAUCCGUGGUAUAUUUCAUUGGCGAGUGUGUGCGUGCGUGUGCUGUGGCAGCGACUUUUUUGGCUGCGCUCGGCGUGUGUGCUGUGUGUGCUUGCUGCUGCCCUGUGCUGCGGUGGGACGUCAAGAUCAGUUUGGAUGCUGCGCGAAAUGGCCGCCGAGAAGGUAGGGCUUACG